UUUGAUCAUGGCUCAGGAUGAACGCUAGCUACAGGCUUAACACAUGCAAGUCGAGGGGCAGCAUUAUCGAAGCUUGCUUGAUAGAUGGCGACCGGCGCACGGGUGAGUAACGCGUAUCCAACCUUCCCUAUAGUAGAGAAUAGCCCGGCGAAAGUCGGAUUAAUGCUCUAUGUUGUAUUUAGAGGACAUCUGAAGAAUACCAAAGGUUUACCGCUAUAGGAUGGGGAUGCGUCUGAUUAGGUAGUAGGCGGGGUAACGGCCCACCUAGCCGACGAUCAGUAGGGGUUCUGAGAGGAAGGUCCCCCACAUUGGAACUGAGACACGGUCCAAACUCCUACGGGAGGCAGCAGUGAGGAAUAUUGGUCAAUGGACGGAAGUCUGAACCAGCCAAGUAAGCGUGCAGGAUGACGGCCCUAUGGGUUGUAAACUGCUUUUAUAUAGGGAUAAAGUCGGGGACGUGUCCCCGUUUGUAGGUACUAUAUGAAUAAGGACCGGCUAAUUCCGUGCCAGCAGCGGC
rnacentral:rRNA from 1 species